rnacentral:misc_RNA from 1 species
CAAUGUAACUGGCCUCACGGCCUACGCUGAAGGAAUGUCGCGGGGGGGUUUCCCCCGCGGCAUCUGACAGUUUACCCACUGUGAAAAACCUUUGUUGCUUCGGCAGCGCUUCCCCGUUCCGCGGGGAGGGUCAGCCUGCCGGUAGCACCCAUCCAAAACUCUUUUUGAAUUGGUAAACAAAACGUCUGAGAGCGCAGUCGAAUGACACUUA